rnacentral:rRNA from 1 species
UACGGAGGGAGCUAGCGUUGUUCGGAAUUACUGGGCGUAAAGCGCGCGUAGGCGGCUUUGUAAGUUAGAGGUGAAAGCCCGGGGCUCAACCCCGGAACUGCCUUUAAAACUGCAUCGCUUGAAUCCAGGAGAGGUGAGUGGAAUUCCGAGUGUAGAGGUGAAAUUCGUAGAUAUUCGGAAGAACACCAGUGGCGAAGGCGGCUCACUGGACUGGUAUUGACGCUGAGGUGCGAAAAGCGUGGGGAGCAAACAGGG